rnacentral:lncRNA from 1 species
UUUAUUGGCAAGCUAAAGAACAAUAAACCACUGUAUGAGAGCAGUGUAAUCCAGGAAUGUCCAUCUGGACCUCUGAAUGCCAUCCUCUGAGAAGAUGCCCAUGACAGCAAGCACACUGGAGCGCAACACCAUCCUGGGUGAAGAUUUGUUGCAAUUGAAUGUGGAUGUGCUGAUCUCUGUGCUCCUGGAUAUGGAGCUGUUAAUCUCUCCUCAAGAGCUGGAUGCAGGCCCAGGCUGCCAUGUAGCACUGAGUGAUGCCAUGCCAAUUCUAGACAAGGUCUUUAUUGCUGGAAAUGUUGCAUAAUGACAGUUUUAUUCAUG